CAGUGAAAACGUAAAAUAGUGCAGCCACUUUGGAAAACAGUCUUGCAGUUCCUAAAAGUUUAACAUAGACUUGCCAAUGACCCAUCAAUUCUAUUCCUAGGAUAUACCCAAGAGAAAUAAAAGAAUAUGUCCACACAAAAAUUUGUACAUGAUUGUUCAUAGAAGCACUAUUCAUAACAGCCAAAAAGUGAAAACAAAUGUCCAUCGAUUUAUGAAUGGAUAAAUUAAAUGUCAUUUAUCUGUGCAACUUUUCUUUGUAAAUUACCUAAUAUCAGGUAGUUCUUUAUAGCAAUGUGAGAAUGGACUAAUACGGUAACCAAAUUAUUAAGUGCAGCUUACCUUUUUAUAGUUCGUACAUUUUAAAAAUAAAAUACUACAGAGCCACCAAUUAAGACCUGAUGUCAUCUAAGCCAAGAGAAAAAGUUUUCCUAAUCCAGCUAGAACAAAGGAGCCUGAACAGUAUGAACCAAAGUAUGGCCUUGGUCUCCAAACCCACAAACUGUGUUUGUAUAUACAUAACCACAGAUAAGACUCCUUUUAUCUUAAAAUCUUUCCAUGAGCUUUUGUUUUUCUUUUUUCUUUUUUUUUCUGAGAACUUCUCAUUAUUUGCAGCUAUUUCUAGGCCACAGCAGCACUCCAGUAGAGUGUUUUGGCAACAGCCCCUGUUGUGGUCAGCAACUCCUCUGCAGCUGGGAUUUCUUGAAAGAAGUGAGUAGCAUUUGCCUUGUAGUGCUCCAGCAACAAAACAAGGAAAACUUCCAUGGGAAUCAGAUAAUCACAGAGCCUUCCCUCUCUCUCCCCUUCCCUUUCGUCAUGUGAUCAAAGAGGUCAGAGCCACUGGUGCACAUUUUAGUAAGCAUGCCACGCAGAGAGGCUAAUAUAGGAACAUAGUCCUAACCACCAGGCCCUGCAACACAUUGUGGAGAACUCCAUCAACUAAAGUGAUUGUAGGACUCAUAACCUUGAUGUCACGAGUGGAAAGAAAGACUUGUUACAGGUCAAGAUUGUAUCACCCUAAAGUAGAGACAUGCUUCAGGGUGGAUAUAUACAGGUUUGUGCAUUUGGUGUGGAGUGAUUCAGCCAAAGAAUUUACCCCAAAACAAGGUUAUACAUUGAAUAAAUAUGAACAUCUAGGUUUGCCUUAACUAUAGCCAAUAACACAAAGUAAAACCAAACAACAACAAAAUACCAAACACACAAUGUUUUCUGGCUAAGCAGAAAUUCAUGGGCAGAAGCCAAAGACAAAGAGACUUACAAGGUAAAAAUCAAAACCGACACCUUAAAAUGUGCAAGUCCUGUUUGGCUCAUCCAACUUGAACAAAGCCACUGUCUGAUAUCAAUCUA
rnacentral:lncRNA from 1 species